GACGAACGCUGGCGGCGUGCUUAACACAUGCAAGUCGAACGGAAAGGCCCUGCUUUUGUGGGGUGCUCGAGUGGCGAACGGGUGAGUAACACGUGAGUAACCUGCCCUUGACUUUGGGAUAACUUCAGGAAACUGGGGCUAAUACCGGAUAGGAGCUCCUGCUGCAUGGUGGGGGUUGGAAAGUUUCGGCGGUUGGGGAUGGACUCGCGGCUUAUCAGCUUGUUGGUGGGGUAGUGGCUUACCAAGGCUUUGACGGGUAGCCGGCCUGAGAGUGUGACCGGCCACAUUGGGACUGAGAUACGGCCCAGACUCCUACGGGAGGCAGCAGUGGGGAAUAUUGCACGAUGGGCGGAAGCCUGAUGCAGCAACGCCGCGUGCGGGAUGACGGCCUUCGGGGUGUAAACCGCGUUCGCCUGUGACGAAGCGUGAGUGACGGUAAUGGGUAAAGAAGCACCGGCUAACUACGUG
rnacentral:rRNA from 1 species